rnacentral:lncRNA from 1 species
UUAUAGGCAUGAAGCAUUACAAGUUAUAUCUAGGAAAGAUCUUUGCUAUUUGAAUAUUGAAAACACAUAAUUCAAAAUAUGCAAAACAUAACAAGCAUGUCAUGAAUCAAAAUCAAUUCUUUUCAAAUAAAAUUUCCUUUAUUUAAAUACAAUUUAGCACUGAUUUUAUCCUUAAGGUGUGUUUUCAAGUGAUUCAAACUUCAUUUGAUUUUUCACAACCUUCUUAUAUAUUUUUAUUUAUUUAUCAUUCAUUCCCCAAAUUU